AGUGGGGAAUCUUAGACAAUGGGGGCAACCCUGAUCUAGCCAUGCCGCGUGAGUGAUGAAGGCCUUAGGGUUGUAAAGCUCUUUCAGCUGGGAAGAUAAUGACGGUACCAGCAGAAGAAGCCCCGGCUAACUCCGUGCCAGCAGCCGCGGUAAUACGGAGGGGGCUAGCGUUGUUCGGAAUUACUGGGCGUAAAGCGCACGUAGGCGGACUGGAAAGUCAGAGGUGAAAUCCCAGGGCUCAACCUUGGAACUGCCUUUGAAACUAUCAGUCUGGAGUUCGAGAGAGGUGAGUGGAAUUCCGAGUGUAGAGGUGAAAUUCGUAGAUAUUCGGAGGAACACCAGUGGCGAAGGCGGCUCACUGGCUCGAUACUGACGCUGAGGUGCGAAAGCGUGGGGAGCAAA
rnacentral:rRNA from 1 species